UACAGAGGGUGCGAGCGUUGUCCGGAAUCACUGGGCGUAAAGGGCGCGUAGGUGGCGACCCAAGUCGAUGGUGAAAGCUCGCCGCUCAACGGCGAGUCGGCCACCGAUACUGGGUUGCUCGAGCACUGUAGAGGCUAAUGGAAUUCCGGGUGUAGCGGUGGAAUGCGUAGAGAUCCGGAGGAAGACCGGUGGCGAAGGCGGUCUGCUGGGCAGUUUCUGACACUGAGGCGCGACAGCGUGGGGAGCAAACAGG
rnacentral:rRNA from 1 species